rnacentral:rRNA from 1 species
UACGUAGGGUGCAAGCGUUAAUCGGAAUUACUGGGCGUAAAGCGUGCGCAGGCGGUUGUGCAAGACAGAUGUGAAAUCCCCGAAGCUCCAACCUGGGAAUUGCAUUUGUGACUGCACGGCUAGAGUGUGUCAGAGGGGGGUAGAAUUCCACGUGUAGCAGUGAAAUGCGUAGAGAUGUGGAGGAAUACCGAUGGCGAAGGCAGCCCCCCUGGGAUAACACUGACGCUCAUGCACGAAAAGCGUGGGGGAGCAAA